rnacentral:sRNA from 1 species
AGGGGGCGCCUUUCAGGCAUCCUCUCCUAAAACUUUCCAGGCCGGUGCGAUUUCGCGCCGGCCUUUUUUUCGUGCGUU